AAAGAUCAUCAGCACAAAAAUAAAUUAAAACAUUGAUUAACCAAUUCUAAACUAAAUCUUCAAUUUCCUAAUCUUCUUUUCAAAAUACUAAUCAAUUUUAAAGCAUUCUCAUCAAUCUUCUUCAAGUGAAAAAGCAACCAAAUAAACUAUAACAUGCAUUCACAAAAAAAGAGAGUAAACCAACCUGAUGCGGACUGAGAAAUGUGAA
rnacentral:misc_RNA from 1 species